UACAGAGGUCUCAAGCGUUGUUCGGAUUCAUUGGGCGUAAAGGGUGUGUAGGUGGCGCGCUAAGUCGGGUGUGAAAUUUCGGAGCUUAACUCCGAAACUGCAUUCGAUACUGGCGUGCUUGAGGACUGGAGAGGAGACUGGAAUUCAUGGUGUAGCAGUGAAAUGCGUAGAGAUCAUGAGGAAGACCAGUGGCGAAGGCGGGUCUCUGGACGGUGACUGACGCUGAGACGCGAAAGCGUGGGGAGCAAACAGG
rnacentral:rRNA from 1 species